GACGAACGCUGGCGGCGUGCCUAAUACAUGCAAGUCGAACGCCUCUUUCCUCCCGAGUGCUUGCACUCAAUUGGAAAGAGGAGUGGCGGACGGGUGAGUAACACGUGGGUAACCUACCCAUCAGAGGGGGAUAACACUUGGAAACAGGUGCUAAUACCGCAUAACAGUUUAUGCCGCAUGGCAUAAGAGUGAAAGGCGCUUUCGGGUGUCGCUGAUGGAUGGACCCGCGGUGCAUUAGCUAGUUGGUGAGGUAACGGCUCACCAAGGCCACGAUGCAUAGCCGACCUGAGAGGGUGAUCGGCCACACUGGGACUGAGACACGGCCCAGACUCCUACGGGAGGCAGCAGUAGGGAAUCUUCGGCAAUGGACGAAAGUCUGACCGAGCAACGCCGCGUGAGUGAAGAAGGUUUUCGGAUCGUAAAACUCUGUUGUUAGAGAAGAACAAGGACGUUAGUAACUGAACGUCCCCUGACGGUAUCUAACCAGAAAGCCACGGCUAACUACGU
rnacentral:rRNA from 1 species